AUGGUUGCAUCAUACAAUCACUAUGGUCCUUCAGAGGAAGAUGGUGUGAGUAGGUACUAUACAGGACACAUUUUUUCUACUUCCCCUUUGGUGAUCUUGGGUCAUGCAACUUCAGCAAAGUUGGCUCUUCUAGUUCUUCCUCCACAUGAUCUGGUGUUUGUGACCUUAGAGAAAUAUAGGGAGAUGGACAAGUACAUUCAUGUAGAAGGGAACAUGCCAAUUAUUUUCUUACAGCUACUGCAGCUCACACAAGAAUUAGACGAUGGAAGAGUUUGUGAUCUUAUGAUGUUUUUCAUUGGCGUGGGAGCAAGUAUGUCAUUGAAACAAGGAACUGAACAUGCAACCACGUAUCAGCAGCUCAUUUGGGAUCCCGGUGAUGUAUACAAGAAUACAUUGAGUUCAAGACUUGUUCCGUCCAAAGGAUGUGUUCAUCUGGAGCGGCCGUGGGACCCAGGUAUUAUUGCCAACUCGGAGUCGGCAAACCUGUUUGUGUCGAGGCCAGAUGAUCUCAAGGCUGAGGUGGGAUCUACAAGGUGUUGCAGUCUGAUCACGCCAUUGCUUGGGGACAAGCAAUGUUUCUUGGGGGCGGUAAUGUCAUACACGUGCAUAGAACCGCACAAGGCUUGGCUGUCAUGGGCCGUGGCCCAGGUGGUCUUGGGCUUGUGUUGGCGCUGGAGAGGAUAA
rnacentral:rRNA from 1 species